rnacentral:misc_RNA from 1 species
UCUCGGCUUAUCACCGGCAGUCCCCCUAGAGUGCCCAACUGAAUGAUGGCAACUAGGGGCGAGGGUUGCGCUCGUUGCGGGACUUAACCCAACAUCUCACGACACGAGCUGACGACAGCCAUGCAGCACCUGUGUUCCGGCCAGCCGAACUGAAGGAUCCCAUCUCUGGGACCCACACGGGACAUGUCAAGGGUCGGUAAGGUUCUGCGCGUUGCUUCGAAUUGAACCACAUGCUCCACCGCUUGUGCGGGCCCCCGCCAGUUCCUUUGAGUUUUAAUCUUGCGAUCGUAGUUCCCAGGCGGUUCACUUAAUGCGUUAGCUGCGGCACCGAGGCGAAGCCCCGACACCUAGUGAACAUCGUUUAUGGCCAAGACUAC